UAGGGAAUAUUGGACAAUGGGCGCAAGCCUGAUCCAGCCAUCCCGCGUGCAGGAUUAAGGCCCUAUGGGUUGUAAACUGCUUUUAUCAGGGAAGAAACCGGGGGAUUCAUCCCCCGUUGACGGUACCUGAGGAAUAAGCACCGGCUAACUCCGUGCCAGCAGCCGCGGUAAUACGGAGGGUGCAAGCGUUAUCCGGAUUUACUGGGUUUAAAGGGUGCGUAGGUGGUCUUGUAAGUCAGCGGUGAAAGCU
rnacentral:rRNA from 1 species